rnacentral:lncRNA from 10 species
CAGGCUGCCUCAAAUAUGGUAACCUUCUUGUCACCUGGAGUGUUUAAGCAGAGAAGACGUCAUGAAUCAGGGCUAUCAAAGACAGUAUUUGUGUAUCACAGAAGCUUGGAGCAAAGACAUUGGAAGAAGUGCUUCCAACUCAAAUAUUAUGUAACCCCACUUUCCUGAAGAAUUAAUAAACUUAAUGGAAUGGUAAUUCUACCCGUAAAGAGGUAAUUAUACCUAAUAACUGAUUAUAUUGAGACAACUGCAUUAAAGCACUCAAUUUAAAAAAAUAUGCAAAGACUACAGGGAACUGACUGAAGAUGUAAAGCUGCAGGCAAUGGAUGUUUACAGAUACUGAUGACCAUCCCUAGAAUUCAUAUUGAGAAUUUCCGUGCCACAUUAACUUCCAGAUGUCCUUGGGAAAAGUGUCUACUAUGCUGCCUUGGUUUCCUCAAUGAGAGUGAGAACAAAUGGAUCUGAAGAGGUGAUCUUGGCCCUAAUUUCCAAGUUCUGGGAAGAUAAACAGGGUUUUCUUUUGAAUCCUUCGGAGCCUGGGAGCUUCAAGAGAAACUCAACUCCAGGCACUUGAACUGACAGAGAAUUUAGAUUCUCCUCCAGGGAAAGGGGCAGAGCAUGGAUCCUGGCUUUGAGCCGCCUCCCAGCUUUUCUGUUGUCCUUGAGGCUGCUACGUUAACACUGUCCUUGCUUUGUGUGGUUUUGCUGUUACUACCUGUCCUGUGGAUUUCUGACAAUUACAAGCCGUGUACCCCACCACACAUGCAAGCAUUUCUCAUUUAUUCUGAGUACUUUAAGGACUGCCCAAUCUGAAUGCAGAGAACUAUGUCUCAUUCAUUUUUGUGUGUCCAGGCCCUCACAGGGUUUGGGGAUCCUGAUAUAGGGUUGGAUUCGGUGACCUCUCAAAUCCUCUUCAGCACUUUCAUGCACAGAAGCCAGCAUCCUCUGGACUGUCAUUAUCCAGUUUUAUUAAAGCAGGUUACAAUAUAAAAGAACCCAUCAUCAGCCAUCAUCACUGAUCUUGGAUAGCUUGCCCUUGGCUGGUGGCCUAAGGAUUCCUUUCUUUUUUUACCUAUCAAAAUCAUUCUUGUACAUAAGCUGUCCCCCUCCCUGCAAAGUAUUCCUUGACUAUCAUAGACAAAAUAUGUCACUCCCUUCCCUCUUCCCAUGAUCUUUGCUUUACAUUCAAAUGUCACCAUUUUAUGGAUCCAUUUGUUUUCUUUAUCGGAUUGUAAAUUCCUUGAGGGUGGAGACUGGAUCUAAUUCAACAUGGUAUCCCAUGGUUCCUUGCCAUGGGAUAUAGUGAAAAUGCAGCAAGUGUGGGACUUGGUGAACAGCGGAUAGUUCACUUGCUGCAGAGGAUGGGUUUUUCUUUCUCUACCCAUGCCCUUUGACUUUGAGUUUGGCCAUUGGACUUGCUUUGGCCAAUGGGAUGCUCACAGACACCAUGCAAGUAGAGGCUUAGAACAUGUGUAUGAACUUGACUUGCCCUCUGUGCUGUUAGGUCUCCUGACCUAAGGAGGAGGAUGAGAAACACAUGGACCAGACCUGCCCCAGCCAAUCCGCAAGCCUGUGAGUGACAAAUAAAUGCAUAUUAUUGGAUGUCACUGAUAUUUGGAGGUUGUUUGUUUGUUAAUGCAGCAACUGUUGCUUAAUACAAUUGUUAACUUAAAAUGUAGGCUGAAAAACAUAGGAGGCCUUGUGAUGUUCAUUGUCUUUAUGGGUUGAGGUGGA